AAGACUAUAGACCUGCGGAGUACCUGCGGAAGGAUCAUUAAAAAAGGGUCAUUCGACCCAUUUUUUUUAAAAAUUCACUACCAGUUUUACUGGAAGUGGGUUUUUUUCAAACACCAAAUUUUAAACUAUUCGUCUUUUGACGAAACCCAAAAUUAAUAAAUAAAACUUUCAACAACGGAUCUCU
rnacentral:misc_RNA from 1 species